GUCUUAACCGGGCGUUAAGUUGCAGGGUAUAGACCCGAAACCCGGUGAUCUAGCCAUGGGCAGGUUGAAGGUUGGGUAACACUAACUGGAGGACCGAACCGACUAAUGUUGAAAAAUUAGCGGAUGACCUGUGGCUGGGGGUGAAAGGCCAAUCAAACCGGGAGAUAGCUGGUUCUCCCCGAAAGCUAUUUAGGUAGCGCCUCGUGAAUUCAUCUCCGGGGGUAGAGCACUGUUUCGGCUAGGGGGCCAUCCCGGCUUACCAACCCGAUGCAAACUGCGAAUACCGGAGAAUGUUAUCACGGGAGACACACGGCGGGUGCUAACGUCCGUCGUGAAGAGGGAAACAACCCAGACCGCCAGCUAAGGUCCCAAAGUCAUGGUUAAGUGGGAAACGAUGUGGGAAGGCCCAGACAGCCAGGAUGUUGGCUUAGAAGCAGCCAUCAUUUAAAGAAAGCGUAAUAGCUCACUGGUCGAGUCGGCCUGCGCGGAAGAUGUAACGGGGCUAAACCAUGCACCGAAGCUGCGGCAGCGACGCU
rnacentral:rRNA from 1 species